GGAAGGGAAGUUGACCUCCCUGGGAUGUCGUCACUUCAUUAGUGGCUGCACCUGCGCAAUCAUGUGAUGCGAUACAUUUUUCAAAGACGUUUUUCAAGACACAGGAGAGGUCGGGUUGAAACAUUACUGAUGUUUCACGUUAAAAAUGGCUCUAAAGAUUGAUGCUAAACAACGUUUGACAUGUUUGAACGAACGUAAAUAGAUUUUUUUUUUUACUUUUCGCCGUGACUCCCCCCCCCCCGCUAAUUUUUAGUUGCCUACCGAAGCGCUAACAACUUGGAGUUAUUUGGACAUCAAUUAUGAACUUUGUUGAAAGAAACCACAUUUGUAGUGGACCUGGGAUUCCUGGAAGUGCCAAUGGAUGAAGAUAAUCAAAGGCAAACAAGGCUGCCAGGGGCCCCGGUUAACACAAGGUCACACAUGAUGCUGCAGGAGACAGACUAAGAACACUUCACUGAUGGUGUUUUCUGCUGUCACACUAGAGUUCCCCUGAACACAACCCAACACUCACUGGCUGUCAACAACACAGUCUGUGUACUCCACCUUUCUUCACGUAUCCCCUUGGUCUUCAGCAGAAAGAUACAGUAAGUAGCUUCAGUUGCUAACCCCAGAGAGCUCUGCCUCAUCAUCAUCAUGGCCAUAAGGAAUCCAUUCCCCUCCACAUCCCAGCAGGGAGAUGUCAUGGACCAUGUAAUGCUACAAGGAAGUACAAACAGGCACACAAACAUGCAGUGAACACAGCAGAGACACAUCACUAACACUGGAGUGGAGCCUAUCCUCACUGUGUGACUCUCUACUAAAACACAGGUUCAGACCACCCACCUUGCAUGACACAAUUAAAACCAGAACUCUUUACCCUUGUUUAAUUUAUAACAGUUGUCGUGGAAAUUACCACUAAGGACUCCAAGUCAAAGUUAAAUGAACAUAUCUUUAUUAUCACGGCCAGAGACGUUACAAGAAACGUAAUACUCAAAGUACAAGUCUGUCAGAAGCUCUGAAGGGAUUCUCUCCCUUCAGCACUCUUUAUACUCAGGCACAAACUAGGCGUCUCUGCUCUCAGGGUGCAAUAAGCUGAUCAUGACCUUGCACACACAGUUUCUAGGCGUUGGGCAAAAGUAUCAAUGUGUUCCUUUCUUUCUGUUCUUCUUCUAUCAGUCCCUGAUAGCAAAAGUCACAUAACAGAGCAAAGUCACAAAACAUCCUAACACAACAAGAAACAACACACUAAAUGUAAUCACGCAUUUGCAGAGACACAGAAGACACAAACAUUUCCACUACACAGUUCUACCUCCACGGGGUAAAGCUCUAAUAUGUACAAUAGUUAUUUGAUACCUGAAACACACUAUGCACGCACACACGGACUCACGCACGCACACGCAAACUCUUUUACCUCCUUUCUGGUUGGCAUCUGCUCAUGUCUCCUCAUUCGUGUCAAAGUGGCCACUGAAGCCAUGUGAGUGAUGAGCCUAAACACAGACAAUGUCAGGCUAUGAUUCCUAUAUCCUAGUUGGCAUGGAGAACACAGCAGACAUGCCAGAGUAAUGGCUAGGGACACAUGAUGGAGCUCGCCACUGAUCCACUGCAUCUGGAGAAAAAUGAACUUCUGUGGGAGCUAAUGAGUCUGUUUUGCAAGAUUCCCCGAGUCAUUUAUGAAACACAUCCAUAUUCAUUACAGGGAGCCUUUUUUUGUUUGUCAAUUUUGAUAUUUUCUCAAGACAAACAUGAGUAACUUGUGCCUUUAGAUCUGUAAAGCAGGGAUAAAGUAGGUGUCGUCUGCUGUAACGCAACAAAUCAACACAGAUUCCAGAGACAAACUCUGACAGUUAACCGGUUACAUCAUCAGUGUUAUGGAUCUCUGACCUAUACUGCAUAGUGUGUAAACUGUACUAGCAUUUCAUGUACUUCCUUAAAAGUACAGUAUUUGCAGAAUAUUAUCAAUUCAAAUUCUCUCAUACUGUAACUUUGGCCCCCCUAGGCCCAUAUUAGUUAGCAUUUCAAAUCAUUGAAAACACUGUCCACAAUAUUCAUAAUUUAGUACUGCAUCCAAUAGAGACUUAGAUUCAUGUUGGGACCAUAUUCUGAAUCAAACUGGCAUUUUAUCUCAUGCAGUAUAUUUCAUUACUCACUACAGUGGGAAGUUUAAGGUUCUGCAGAUUCAUUAGUUGACAGAUUGUAACUCAUCUUGGAUGAUAUUCUCCAAGGCUUGACUUUAAUAAAUCUGCUUUCCACCACACAGAGGCUGAAUCCAAUACUUACGGGGCAUUCAGGUACCCAUCGGGAAGUGGAAAACUUCCCAAUAGGGAAGUCUUAAAGUGGAACUGACAGUGUUUAUAUAAGGCCACAAGGCGAGACUCAGAUGCAGACACAGGAGGCAGAUGGUUUGAGUCUUGAUAUUUAUUAAACAAUCCAAAAGGGGUAGGCAAGAGAAUGGUCGUGGACAGGCAAAAGGUCAAAACCAGUUCAGUGUCCAGGAGGUACAGAGUGGCAGGCAGGCUCAAGGUCAGGUCAGGCAGGUGGGUACAGAGUCCAGAAAACAGACAAGGGUCAAAAACCAGGAGGACUAGCAAAAGAGAAUAGAAGCAGGAGUACAGGAAAACAUACAAGACGAAAAACAUACAAGACGAACUGGCACAGAGAGACAGGAAACACAGGGAUAUAUACACCAGGGAUAAUAAGC
rnacentral:lncRNA from 1 species